rnacentral:rRNA from 1 species
AGGAUGAACGCUAGCGGCAGGCUUAACACAUGCAAGUCGAGGGGUAUGCUUCUUCGGGAGCAGAGACCGGCGCACGGGUGCGUAACGCGUAUGCAAUCUACCUUUCACAAAGGGAUAGCCCAGAGAAAUUUGGAUUAAUACCUUAUAGUAUAAGAGAACCGCAUGGUUGACUUAUUAAAGAUUUAUCGGUGAAAGAUGAGCAUGCGUCCCAUUAGCUAGUUGGUAAGGUAACGGCUUACCAAGGCUACGAUGGGUAGGGGUCCUGAGAGGGAGAUCCCCCACACUGGUACUGAGACACGGACCAGACUCCUACGGGAGGCAGCAGUGAGGAAUAUUGGACAAUGGGCGCAAGCCUGAUCCAGCCAUGCCGCGUGCAGGAUGACGGUCCUAUGGAUUGUAAACUGCUUUUGUACAGGAAGAAACAGUUCUACGUGUAGAACCUUGACGGUACUGUAAGAAUAAGGAUCGGCUAACUCCGUGCCAGCAGCCGCGGUAAUACGGAGGAUCCAAGCGUUAUCCGGAAUCAUUGGGUUUAAAGGGUCCGUAGGCGGUCAGAUAAGUCAGUGGUGAAAGCCCAUCGCUCAACGGUGGAACGGCCAUUGAUACUGUCUGACUUGAAUUAUUAGGAAGUAACUAGAAUAUGUAGUGUAGCGGUGAAAUGCUUAGAGAUUACAUGGAAUACCAAUUGCGAAGGCAGGUUACUACUAAUUGAUUGACGCUGAUGGACGAAAGCGUGGGUAGCGAACAGGAUUAGAUACCCUGGUAGUCCACGCCGUAAACGAUGGAUACUAGCUGUUGGAAGCAAUUUCAGUGGCUAAGCGAAA